AGAGUUUGAUCCUGGCUCAGAGCGAACGCUGGCGGCAGGCCUAACACAUGCAAGUCGAGCGGCCGUAGCAAUACGGCAGCGGCAGACGGGAGAGUAACACGUGGGAACGCGCCCUUCGGUUCGGAAUAACUCAGGGAAACUUGGGCUAAUACCGGAUACGCCCUUACGGGGAAAGAUUUAUUGCCGAAGGAACGGCCCGC
rnacentral:rRNA from 1 species